UACGGAGGGGACUAGCGUUGUUCGGAAUUACUGGGCGUAAAGCGCGCGUAGGCGGAUUUGCAAGUCGGGGGUGAAAGCCCGAGGCUCAACCUCGGAACUGCCCUCGAUACUGCAAAUCUCGAGUCCGAGAGAGGUGAAUGGAAUUCCUAGUGUAGAGGUGAAAUUCGUAGAUAUUAGGAAGAACACCAGUGGCGAAGGCGGCUCACUGGCUCGGUACUGACGCUGAGGCGCGAAAGCGUGGGGAGCAAACAGG
rnacentral:rRNA from 1 species